rnacentral:tRNA from 1 species
CCUGGUGGCUCAGAUGGUAAAGCAUCUGCCUACAAUGCAGAAGACCCGGGUUCAAUCCCUGGGUCAGGA